UGAAUAUGAUGAGUUCCACUUCAUGGUCCGUGUUUCUGAACCCAGUGAUAAUAAUGGAAGUUCUGAUUUA
rnacentral:snoRNA from 17 species